rnacentral:lncRNA from 1 species
UUUGCUCCAGCUGAUGAUGCUACACCUGUAGCGGUAUUUUCCACAGUUGUAGCGGAGGACCCCUCCUAUCCACCAGAGGAGCCUACUACUUGAUCAUACGAUCACUCCUCUCCCUUUUUGUAUCUAUAUUCUACGUUUUUGGAUGUCUUAUAUAUUUUGGACCACUUUUAUACUGGGAUUGGAUGUAUUCCAUGUUUAUCUUGUAUAUUGUACUCUCU